rnacentral:lncRNA from 1 species
UUAUAUUUGAAAUUUAUUUAAUUUCGUUCAUUUGAUAUUUUUAAAUAUUUUUAAAAUUUUGAUAAAUACAAAACGAUAUAAUACCUGCACGUAUAAAUUCUAAUAAAAAACUGAUACCGAUUCGAUAUUGACUAGCUUAGAGGCAGAAUUAGCUAUUCACCUUAAGUUAAUGUCAAUGAUAUUUAAACUGAAUUGGAUCCUUCGGUUAGAUUGAGAAUCUGUCCGAACACUAGAAAAAACCGUUUGAACCGUGAACUGAAAAAUCGGUAAAAAGCCUGUCCGACCGGUUCUUUCGUCUGCGCAAGCCGAUAAAAACAAACAACCCGAGACCCACCCCCUCCCGGGCAACCACCACUCUCGUCACUCGUCCAUCCGGCCUCUCUGACUCUCUGACUCUCUCAACCUCUCUUCACUCUUUAGUCUCCAAUCUCCCUCCACCUUCCGGCUUUCAGCCUCCAGUUCACCCGCCUUUAGCCGUCUGCUUCUUCGACGACCGUCCCUGCUGAAAAAUGAGAAAGUCAGAAAGACAGGUUUGGUGGUAAAGGACAAAUGAGAAUUGAAAAGAGUUAACGAUAAUAAUUUUUUAGGUUUGCGUACUUUAUGACAACCCGAGACCCACCCCCUCCCGGGCAACCACCACUCUCGUCACUCGUCCAUCCGGCCUCUCUGACUCUCUGACUCUCUCAACCUCUCUUCACUCUUUAGUCUCCAAUCUUCCUCCACCUUCCGGCUUUCAGCCUCCAGUUCACCCGCCUUUAGCCGUCUGCUUCUUCGACGACCGUCCCUGCUGAAAAAUGAGAAAGUCAGAAAGACAGGUUUGGUG